ensembl:snoRNA
AGUUUAUUUGAAAGAGAAUUUGUAGAGCUGUAAAACAAGGAUGCCUUAAUACUGUGACCAAAAAAGUUCUCUAUGAGACAGUCACUCAAUAGUGUUUUGCUGAGGAGAUAGAAGA